UACAGAGACCUCAAGCGUUAUCCGGAUUCACUGGGCGUAAAGCGUCCGCAGGUGGUCUAAUUAGUCGGGUGUUAAAUAUCGGGGCUCAACUUCGAUACCGCAUUCGAAACGGUUAGACUAGAGGCCGGGAGAGGCACAUGGAACUGAUGGUGUAGUAGUAAAAUGCGUUAAUAUCAUCAGGAACACCCAAGGCGAAGGCAUUGUGCUAGAACGGUUCUGACACUCAGGGACGAAAGCGUGGGGAGCAAAACGG
rnacentral:rRNA from 1 species